UAUGUGAUCGUCUCUCGCAUAUCAAUAAGCGGAGGAAAAGAAACUAACAAGGAUUCCCCUAGUAACGGCGAGUGAAGCGGGAAGAGCUCAAAUUUGAAAUCUUAAAGGGUUUCCCUUUACGAAUUGUAGUUUAAAGAAGUGUUUUCUGUUGAGGUUUUGGUAAAAGUUCUUUGGAAUAGGACAUCAUAGAGGGUGAGAAUCCCGUAUUUGACCUUUACUUUCAACUUUGUGAUACACUUUCAAGGAGUCGGAUUGUUUGGGAAUGCAGUCCAAAAUGGGUGGUAAAUUUCAUCUAAAGCUAAAUAUUGGCGAGAGACCGAUAGCGAACAAGUACCGUGAGGGAAAGAUGAAAAGAACUUUGAAAAGAGAGUUAAACAGUACGUGAAAUUGUCAAAAGGGAAGCGUUUGACACCAGUGUUGUUUUUCUGAAAAUCAAUUAAAGAACUGUUUAUGCUAAGCUGUUUAGACUUUAUCAGCUAACUGUUUAGUUUUGAGCUUUUCUUUAAUGCACUUUUCAGUUAACAAGUCAACAUCAAUUUCUUUUGCUGUAAAAAAGCUUGAGGAAGGUGGCUUGAGAUUCGUCUUAAGUGUUUAUAGCCUCUUGCCUAUGCAGUCGGAGAGAUUUGAGGUCUGCAGCGUAGAUCCUUCGGGGCUAAAUGCAUUUGUGCUAAGUUAUAGCAUUUUAUAGACAACUUGUUGACUAUGAUUUGUCUUGUAGCUUACUCGCUUAUGUUAUUUUACCUACGCUUAGGAUGUUGACACACGCGCGUGUCG
rnacentral:rRNA from 1 species